rnacentral:antisense_RNA from 1 species
CUUCACGGAGCCCAACCACAGCGGCCGAUCCACAUCCCGACCCUGCCCAUAGGUGGCCAACAACGCCUGCGCCUC